rnacentral:lncRNA from 1 species
AUGUUUUUACACGCUGUUCGAGCUAAAUUAAUACAACUGAGAAUAACACUAGGUUUACCCAUAAUUUUACUUGGAGAUUUUAAUAUAGCACAUAGAAAUAAAGAUAUUUAUUUUAUGAAAAAUGUAAUUGAUUUGGAUGUACUAUUACAAAAUAUAAACACAAUAAAUAUAAAUGAAUAUAAAAAAAAAAAAAUAAUUCAAGCACUCCCAUUAAUUAUAGAAACAUUAAGUGAUAAAAAUAAUUUUAUUAUUAAAAAAAAUGAUAAAACGAACGGAGGACAUAUUAAUAAUAAAAAUGUUGAAAGUUAUACAUUAUUUUUAAAAUUUAAUAAUAUUAAAUGUAAUGAUGGUAAAAAUAACAGUAUAAACACUUUUAUUAAAAAAAUUGCAAGCGAUUUUAGUUCAACAGAAGAAGUAUAUUUUUCUUUCGAUUUAAACGAAUUGUAUAUAGAGGAUAUUUUUGAGCAUUACCCAAAAGAGUUUUUUUUUUUUUUGGAUAAUACUUUUGAGAGUGAAGAAAUUAGGACAUGUAAUGUUAAUUCUGUGUGUGAAGAGAAUGUAGUAGAUACUUGUAUCGAAUCAAUUGAUGAUAAAAUAAUUGGCAAUUAUUCUAAUACAAAAGUAAGUAAUAAAAAAGAAACAAGUGAAUAUUCUAAUGUAACCAAUAGCAACAAUAAUAAUAUUUCCUUAGAAUCCUUUAUGUUUUAUAAUCAGCAGAUUUAUACAAAUAUGUUAAAAAAUGAAAAUAUAAAUACUGAAUAUUAUAUAGAAAAAAAUAAAAAAUAUAUUAAAUAUAAUAAUAAAUUAAAGAAGUAUAUAAAAAGUUCAAAUAAAAUAUUAUGUCAUUAUAAUUUUAAAAAUUGUAUUGCUAAAAAUAAAUAUUUAUUAAAAAAAAAAAAUUGUAUUAGUUUAAAAAAUUUGGAAAAUAUAUUUAUAGCUUUAAAUAUUUUUAUUUCACAUAAUGAAAUGUUAAUAAUUGCUAAUACAUUAGGUGAAUCAUGCUCUCCUAUAUGUUGUAUCAAUUUUUUUAAUAAUAUACUCUAUGAAGAUUAUAUGGUUGAUACUUUUUCAUAUUUUAACUCGAAUCUAAAUGGUAAAUUUACAUGUUGGAACAGUUUUGAACAAGAUAGAGUACAUAAUAUAGGGUCACGGAUUGAUUAUAUUUUAGUUGAUUAUAUAUUAUAUAAUAAGUUAAUUAAGCAGUAUAGUCAUUUAUAUCAAUGUCCUCCUAUUAAGUUGAAUGAAAAUACAAGAAAAUUAUUGAGCAAGCAUAAUAGUGAUGUCCUUAUAAAAAAAAAAACCCCAAACGUUGGUGAUAGUGAUGGUAAUGGUAAUGGUAGUGAUAAUGAUCCGAAUAAAAAAAACUACAACUUAUUUGAUAAACUAAAUUCUUACCAUAAUAACUGCUUAUAUGCAAACUAUUUUAACAGAAUAAAAAUGAAAAGUAAAAAAAUGAAAAAAAUUCAAACGAGCCAAACUAGUGUAAAUGAUGAAGAUGAUAAACUGUAUAAAUACCAGUUUGAUUUGUUGAGUCCAAUGGGUUUUAUUUAUACACAUCCGAAGUUAAGUGAUCACAUCGCAGUUAAUUGUACAUUUUGUUUGGGAGAGUGUGGUAUUGUACGUCAAAACAAAUGUAACAAUAUAACAACCAAGUUAUGUAACAGAGAUAUAUACGUGUGUUGCUCUAACUACAACAUAUCAUUAAAACAUAUUUGUAACUCUGUAGAACAAUAUGUUAAAUUAUUACCAUUAUUUUUAAUAAAUCCUUCUUUAUUUUCGUUAUGCUUAUUUAUGCUUUUAAAUCAUUUCCAUGCUUAUAAAAAAGGUCAGUGUUCUCACAUGUUAGGGACACAACCACAUAAAAAAUUACGUAAAAUAACUCAGUAUUUUAGCGUAAAAAAAAGAAAACAAAAUUAA